rnacentral:rRNA from 1 species
UAGGGAAUCUUCCGCAAUGGGCGAAAGCCUGACGGAGCAACGCCGCGUGAGUGAUGAAGGUCUUCGGAUCGUAAAACUCUGUUAUUAGGGAAGAACAUAUGUGUAAGUAACUGUGCACAUCUUGACGGUACCUAAUCAGAAAGCCACGGCUAACUACGUGCCAGCAGCCGCGGUAAUACGUAGGUGGCAAGCGUUAUCCGGAAUUAUUGGGCGUAAAGCGCGCGUAGGCGGUUUUUUAAGUCUGAUGUGAAAGCCCACGGCUCAACCGUGGAGGGUCAUUGGAAACUGGAAAACUUGAGUGCAGAAGAGGAAAGUGGAAUUCCAUGUGUAGCGGUGAAAUGCGCAGAGAUAUGGAGGAACACCAGUGGCGAAGGCGACUUUCUGGUCUGUAACUGACGCUGAUGUGCGAAAGCGUGGGGAUCAAACAGGAUUAGAUACCCUGGUAGUCCACGCCGUAAACGAUGAGUGCUAAGUGUUAGGGGGUUUCCGCCCCUUAGUGCUGCAGCUAACGCAUUAAGCACUCCGCCUGAGGAGUACGACCGCAAGGUUGA